rnacentral:misc_RNA from 1 species
AAGAGUUUGGUACCUUCGGGUACUAUCUCCCACCAAUUGUGAACCUAUCUCGUUGCCUCGACAUCCGAUGUGUACCCGUAAGGUGUACCCAUCCUUCGGUUGCUCGCACCUGAAGAGUGAUGUCGAAGGAUUUUAACAUCUUUUAAUCAAUCAUCUGAGUUUAAACAAAUAAAAACA